CCGGUGGGUAGGCCUCUCUCCAUAGGAGGACCAGGGUGGAUGGGGGAUCUCCUGUAUGUCUGCCAUUGGCCCCUCAGUCAGCUGGGAACUCCUGGGAGGUAGCAAAUGCUGGGGACCGGGCCUGGGCCUCGGCAGGGGGUCUCUAAACCUCCCGGGGUCCUUAGUGCACCAGUUCUGCUUCAGGACUCGGUUUCCCUAAGUGUCAGGUACUAAGUUGAGCCAAAUUGGGGAUUUUCAGGUGUUUAUAGCAACAAAACUCUAUGCCCAUUUGAAACUCAAAGCAGUCAAAACAGAGCUGCUCAGUAGAUCUGGGGAGUGGAGACCCCAGUGACCAACAGGAGAGCCCCCUCCCAGUACCAUGAGACCUUAGCGCUCAGAGGAGCCCAGUGAGAACACUUCUCCAGGCCAUUUGAAUCUCGGGUUUGCAAAGAAAAGGGAUUUGCAUUUAGACCCCUCACAUUAUUCCUAAAUUUAUCCCUCGUUCUUUCCCCUCCCCUGAGAGAGAGCCCUGAAAAUCUUCAGGAACUCAAUAGUCAAGACAAGUCCUUGAGCAGAGAACUGAUGAUCAAGGUUAACAAGCAGAGGGAUCUGUUCUGCCCAUGAGCAGGUGGGGUGCCGUUUGUGGGCAGGAGGCCCUGGUCAUGAGACACAAUGGUGUUGGCUGGGCUGUUCCAGGAGGAGUUGCCGAGCUGGCGCCAUCAACAGGUCUCUGGCUUCCAUGAGGGGCCCUUCACGUUUGCCCCCCCAGAGAGCAACCCCCAGAGAGUGCAGGAGAAGCAGCAGCAGCAGCAGGGUGUCUUCCCCUAUCUUGGCAAUCUGCUCAGUGACCUGCUGAUGCUGCACCUGGCGAUGGGUGACUAUCUCGAGGGGAAUGAGAUCAACCUUGAGAAGAGGACUGAGGAGCAGCUGUGGCACUCCCUGCAGGGGAGGAGAAGGAGGUGGAAAUCAGAGACCUUCUGGGCAGAACAGUGCCUGGCUUCACCUCCUGUAUCUUACAUUGUGUGGAAGAGUUUGAUAACAGAGCAGUGGGAGACCCAUCCAAUUGGCGGGUGGGUUGAGGGGAGGAUGGCAUCAAGGAUAUCUUCCUGGAGGAGGAGCUGAUUAUUCCCAUUCUGAGAACUGGUAGAUCCUGGAUGGAACUGGAGGGAAGGAUGGUUUCCAGGACUGGUCCCCUGCCCCACUCCUCACCUCCAACAAGGCCCCUGCAGCAUCCCCCACCCAGGCCCUGUGUGCAUCCUCUCCUUCCCUCUGGUCCCAGGAAUACCGAGUCAUGAGGAAGAUCCUGCUGCUCCAGGAGGCUGCCAAGAAUUACAACCUAGAACCCGAGGGAGCGAUUUGCGGCCUGGUUCCAAGACAUGGAGUUGCUCAACGAGAAUGAGAGGUCAAAGACCAAGGGAAGAGGUCGUCAAGAGGUCAAGUCUAAUCUAUCUACGGAUGUGGCAGCCUUAACUAUGGAUGUUCAAGCCAGACAUU